UGAUGGGGAAGCCCUUCGGGGCGAAGUAGCUGAUUUCACACUGUCAAGAAAAGCUUCUAUCGAGUUUAAAGGCGCCCGUACCGUAAACCGACACAGGUGGGUGAGGAGAGUAUCCUAAGGCCAGCGAGAGAACUAUUGUUAAGGAACUCGGCAAAAUGACCCCGUAACUUAGGGAGAAGGGGUGCCUGUCUAUGACAGGCCGCAGAGAAUAGGCCCAAGCGACUGUUUACCAAAAACACAGGUUUCUGCUAAGUCGCAAGACGAUGUAUAGGAGCUGACGCCUGCCCGGUGCUGGAAGGUUAAGGGGAUCUGUUAGAGCAAUCGAAGCAGUGAACUUAAGCCCCAGUAAACGGCGGCCGUAACUAUAACGGUCCUAAGGUAGCGAAAUUCCUUGUCGGGUAAGUUCCGACCCGCACGAAAGGCGUAACGAUUUGGGCACUGUCUCAACAAUAGACUCGGUGAAAUUGUAAUCCCGGUGAAGAUGCCGGGUACCUGCGACAGGACGGAAAGACCCCAUGGAGCUUUACUGUAGCUUGACGUUGGGUCUUGGUACUACAUGUACAGGAUAGGUGGGAGACUAUGAAGCAUGGACGCCAGUCUGUGUGGAGUCAUCCUUGGGAUACCACCCUUGUAGUACUGGGAUCCUAACCAUAGGCCUUGAAUCAGGUCUUGGAACACCGUCAGGUGGGCAGUUUGACUGGGGCGGUCGCCUCCUAAAAAGUAACGGAGGCGCUCAAAGGUUUCCUCAGCACGGUCGGAAAUCGUGCGAAGAGUGUAAAGGCAAAAGGAAGCUUGAUUGCAAGACAUACAGGUCGAGCAAGGACGAAAGUCGGACUUAGUGAUCCGGUGGUACCGCAUGGAAGGGCCAUCGCUCAACGGAUAAAAGCUACCCUGGGGAUAACAGGCUUAUCUCCCCCAAGAGUCCACAUCGACGGGGAGGUUUGGCACCUCGAUGUCGGCUCAUCACAUCCUGGGGCUGUAGUAGGUCCCAAGGGUUGGGCUGUUCGCCCAUUAAAGUGGUACGCGAGCUGGGUUCAGAACGUCGUGAGACAGUUCGGUCCCUAUCCGUCGCAGGCGUAGGAAAUUUGAGAAGACCUGUCCUUAGUACGAGAGGACCGGGAUGGACGUACCUCUGGUGUGCCAGUUGUUCUGCCAAGGGCAUGGCUGGGUAGCUAUGUACGGAAUGGAUAAGCGCUGAAAGCAUCUAAGCGCGAAGCCAACUUCAAGAUAAGAUUUCCCACCGUAA
rnacentral:rRNA from 1 species